AUGACUGAAGCUUUUCUUCUUUUUUUCAGGGGUCAUGAUCUUUCCUUCCAUAAAGAAGGAUCAGGCCAAGAUGCAGAGACAAGGGACCUAUGCUGUGAACUAUUUCACAAGAAAGGAAUGGAGGCAUUGUAUGGGCCACUCCUUGAGGGAAACAAGCAUGAGGCAGGUCAGGAAAAGAAGGAAAGAGGCAGAACUUCCAAAGAACAGGUAAAGGCAUCACACAAAAAGAUAAUACAGGACCCACAGAGAAGGGAAAUAAAAGUGAGGGGAGCAAAAAAGGAACUGAUGCAUUGAUGGGGAGGGAGAAAAAGCAAAUGCAGAAUAUAAAAUUAGAAGCAAUAGGAGAAUAUCAACUGGAGGUCAUUGUUUUUAGUGAAAUGACAGAAAGAGAAAUUAAAAAAACCACAUGUUCUCAUUUAUAAGUGGGAGCCAAAUAAUGAAUACAAAUGGGCAUAUAGAAUGGAAUAAUUGGCAUUGGAGACUCCAAACGGUGGGAAUGUGGGAGGGGAGUGAAGGGAAAAAAAGCUACCUAUUGGAGACAAUGUAUACUACUCUGUUUACUGGUGCACUAAAAUCCUAGGUUUCAUCACUAUACAAUAUAUCCAUGUAAUGAAGCUGCACUUGUACCCCUAAAUCUGUAAAAUAAAAACUUAAAACAAACAGACAAAUAAAAAAAUAAGCAGAGGAAAAUAUCAUAGACCAAGAAGAGGAAAAGGAGGAUAAAA
rnacentral:lncRNA from 1 species